rnacentral:rRNA from 1 species
UACAAUGGCAGGUACAGAGGGAUGCUACCGGGCGACCGGAUGCGGAUCUCGAAAGCCUGUCCCAGUUCGGACUGGAGUCUGCAACCCGACUCCACGAAGUUGGAUUCGCUAGUAAUCGCGCAUCAGCCAUGGCGCGGUGAAUACGUUCCCGGGCCUUGUACACACCGCCCGUCAAGCCAUGGGAGCCGGGGGCGCCUGAAGUCCGGGACCGCGAGGACCGGCCUAGGGCGAAACUGGUAACUGGGGCUAAGUCGUAACAAGGUAGC